AGGACGAACGCUGGCGGCGUGCUUAACACAUGCAAGUCGAACGGUGAAGCCCUUCGGGGCGGAUCAGUGGCGAACGGGUGAGUAACACGUGGGCAAUCUGCCCUGCAUUCUGGGACAAGCCUUGGAAACGAGGUCUAAUACCGGAUACGACGCAUCUCCGCAUGGAGUGUGCGUGGAAAGCUCCGGCGAUGCAGGAUGAGCCCGCGGCCUAUCAGCUUGUUGGUGGGGUAAUGGCCUACCAAGGCGACGAU
rnacentral:rRNA from 1 species